AUGCGGCAGAGGAGGCAUCAUGAUCAGGAAGACUAUUGUUCCAGGAUGCAGCUCAUCUCUCACGCUCUGGAUGUGCUGACACUGCAGUUUUCCAAAACAUGAGAAGUCUGGCUGCAUGGUGUGUAGUAGUGGAGGACUAUACUUGUAUUCCUCCU
rnacentral:snRNA from 9 species